rnacentral:rRNA from 1 species
GUNUGAACUCAGAUCACGUAAGAUUUUAAAAGUCGAACAGACUUAAAAUUUAAACUACUGCACCUAAAUUUAUAUCUUAAUCCAACAUCGAGGUCGCAAUCUUUUUUAUCAAUAUGAACUCUCCAAAAAAAUUACGCUGUUAUCCCUAAAGUAACUUAAUUUUAUAAUCAUUAAAAAUGGAUCAAUUAUUCAUAAAUUUAUGAUUUAAAUUUUAAAAGUUUAUUAAAUUUUAAUAUCACCCCAAUAAAAUAAAUUUACAAAUUAUAAUUUAAUUAAUCUUUAAAAUUAAAAUUUAUAAAUUUAUAAAGAUUUAUAGGGUCUUCUCGUCUUUUAAUUUUAUUUUAGCUUUUUGACUAAAAAAUAAAAUUCUAAUAUAAUUUUAAAUGAAACAGUUAAUAUUUCGUCCAACCAUUCAUUCCAGCCUUCAAUUAAAAGACUAAUGAUUAUGCUACCU